rnacentral:rRNA from 1 species
GACGGAGGAUGCAAGUGUUAUCCGGAAUCACUGGGCGUAAAGCGUCUGUAGGUGGUUUAAUAAGUCAACUGUUAAAUCUUGAGGCUCAACUUCAAAAAUCGCAGUCGAAACUAUUAGACUAGAGUAUAGUAGGGGUAAAGGGAAUUUCCAGUGGAGCGGUGAAAUGCGUAGAGAUUGGAAAGAACACCAAUGGCGAAAGCACUUUACUGGGCUAUCACUGACACUGAGAGACGAAGCUAGGGUAGCAAAUGGG